rnacentral:rRNA from 1 species
UACGUAGGGUGCAAGCGUUGUCCGGAAUUAUUGGGCGUAAAGAGCUCGUAGGCGGUUUGUCGCGUCUGCUGUGAAAACUCGGGGCUUAACCCCGGGCCUGCAGUGGGUACGGGCAGACUAGAGUGCGGUAGGGGAGACUGGAAUUCCUGGUGUAGCGGUGAAAUGCGCAGAUAUCAAGAGGAACACCUGAGGUGAAGACGGGUUGCUGGGCUGACACUGACGCUGAGGCGCGAAAGCUAGGGUAGCAAACGGG